rnacentral:misc_RNA from 1 species
GAUGAAGAACGCAGCGAAAUGCGAUACUUGGUGUGAAUUGCAGAAUCCCGUGAACCAUCGAGUCUUUGAACGCAAGUUGCGCCCGAAGCCACUAGGCCGAGGGCACGCCUGCCUGGGCGUCACACGCCGUUGCCCCCCCAUCUACUCCUUCGGGAUUGCGGGGGGGCGGAUGAUGGCCUCCUGUGCGCCUAGCCGCGCGGUUGGCAUAAAUACCAAGUCCUCGGCGACGCACGCCACGACAAGCGGUGGUUGCGAAACCUCGGUUGCCCGUCGUGUGCGGUCGUCGCGCAUCGAGGGCUCGAAAAAAUGCUCGGCUCCGGCUGGGCUUUCAACGCGACCCCAGGUCAGGCGGGGUUACCCGCUGAAUUUAAGCAUAUCAAUAAGCGGAGGA